AACGCCACUUUGUCCAUUUCCGCUGCUUGACAGUACGGUCGCGUGUGUGAGGUUUACUCAUCGUUGUGCGACUGUGAUAUGCUUGCGGAAAGAUUAAAUGGCGCUCUUUAAGAACUCUGGUGGAUAGUAAGAUGAGACCAGAGUGUCAGGGAGUGGCGAUAUGU
rnacentral:snoRNA from 1 species